GCGGCGGUGGUGGAAUUGGUAGACACGCCAGCUUGAGGGGCUGGUGGGGGCAACCCCGUGGAGGUUCGAAUCCUCUCCGCCGCACCA
rnacentral:tRNA from 1 species